rnacentral:rRNA from 1 species
GACGAACGCUGGCGGCGUGCCUAAUACAUGCAAGUAGAACGCACAGUUUAUACCGUAGCUUGCUACACCAUAGACUGUGAGUUGCGAACGGGUGAGUAACGCGUAGGUAACCUGCCUGGUAGCGGGGGAUAGCUAUUGGAAACGAUAGCUAAUACCGCAUAAUAUUAAUUAUUGCAUGAUAAUUAAUUGAAAGGUGCAAUUGCACCACUACCAGAUGGACCUGCGUUGUAUUAGCUAGUAGGUGAGGUAACGGCUCACCUAGGCGACGAUACAUAGCCGGCCUGAGAGGGUGAUCGGCCACACUGGGACUGAGACACGGCCCAGACUCCUACGGGAGGCAGCAGUAGGGAAUCUUCGGCAAUGGACGAAAGUCUGACCGAGCAACGCCGCGUGAGUGAAGAAGGUUUUCGGAUCGUAAAGCUCUGUUGUAAGAGAAGAACGGGUGUGAGAGUGGAAAGUUCACACUGUGACGGUAGCUUACCAGAAAGGGACGGCUAACUACGUG